rnacentral:rRNA from 1 species
UACGUAGGUGGCAAGCGUUGUUCGGAAUUACUGGGCGUAAAGAGCGCGCAGGCGGUCGUUCAAGUCGCGUGUGAAAGCCCCCGGCUCAACUGGGGAGGGUCACGCGAUACUGAUCGACUCGAAGGCAGGAGAGGGAAGUGGAAUUCCCGGUGUAGUGGUGAAAUGCGUAGAUAUCGGGAGGAACACCAGUGGCGAAGGCGACUUCCUGGCCUGUUCUUGACGCUGAGGCGCGAAAGCUAGGGGAGCAAACGGG